UGGGAACCUUCCUAGGGGUACGGAACAACUCAGGGAAACUUGAGCUAAUACCGUAUACGUCCGUGAGGAGAAAGUUUUAACGCCCCUAGACGGGCCCGCGUAGGAUUAGGUAGUUGGUGAGGUAACGGCUCACCAAGCCUACGAUCCUUAGCUGAUCUGAGAGGAUGAUCAGCCACACUGGGACUGAGACACGGCCCAGACUCCUACGGGAGGCAG
rnacentral:rRNA from 1 species